rnacentral:snRNA from 1 species
AUACUUCCCUGGUGCCGUGCCUCGUUGAUCACCGAGGAUGAGCGCCCAGGACGAGGCGCGAGCAUUUUACUGCGCUUGUGUUGACCCGGCCACUACCCCAAACUGGGGCAAAUGGAGCAUGCAAAUUGC